UACGAAGGGGGGCGAGCGUUGUUCGGAUUUACUGGGCGUAAAGGGCGCGCAGGCGGCUCAUUUUGUCAGGCGUGAAAGCCCCGGGCUUAACCUGGGAACUGCGUUUGAUACGGAUGGGCUAGAGUUCGGGAGAGGAGAGUGGAAUUCCCAGUGUAGAGGUAAAAUUCGUAGAUAUGGGAAGAACACCAGUGGCGAAAGGCGGCUCACUGGACUGGUAUUGACGCUGGAGGUGCGAAAGCGUGGGGAGCAAACAGG
rnacentral:rRNA from 1 species